CGUAGGGUGCAAGCGUUGUCCGGAAUUAUUGGGCGUAAAGAGCUCGUAGGCGGUCUGUAGCGUCGGCUGUGAAAACCCGGGGCUCAACCCCGGGCCUGCAGCCGAUACGGGCAGACUAGAGUUCGGCAGGGGAGACUGGAAUUCCUGGUGUAGCGGUGAAAUGCGCAGAUAUCAGGAGGAACACCGGUGGCGAAGGCGGGUCUCUGGGCCGAAACUGACGCUGAGGAGCGAAAGCGUGGGGAGCGAACAGGAUUAGAUACCCUGGUAGUCCACGCCGUAAACGUUGGGCGCUAGGUGUGGGUUCCCUUCCACGGGAUCCGUGCCGCAGCUAACGCAUUAAGCGCCCCGCCUGGGGAGUACGGCCGCAAGGCUA
rnacentral:rRNA from 1 species